rnacentral:rRNA from 1 species
GAUGAACGCUGGCGGCGUGCCUAAUACAUGCAAGUCGAGCGAACGGACGAGAAGCUUGCUUCUCUGCUGUUAGCGGCUGACGGGUGAGUAACACGUAGAUAACCUACCUAUAAGACUUGGAUAACUUCGGGAAACCGGAUCUAAUACCGGCUAAUAUUUUGAACCGCAUGGUUCAAAAGAUCUUGACGGUCUUGCUGUUACUUUUAGAUGGUUUCGCGCUGCAUUAGCUAGUUGGUAAGGUAACGGCUUACCAAGGCAACGAUGCGUAGCCGACCUGAGAGGAUGAUCAGCCACACUGGAACUGAGACACGGUCCAGACUCCUACGGGAGGCAGCAGUAGGGAAUAUUCGGCAAUGGGCGAAAGCCUGACGGAGCAACGCCGCGUGAGUGAUGAAGGUCUUCGGAUCGUAAAACUCUGUUAUUAGGGAAGAACAUAUGUGUAAGUAACUGUGCACAUCUUGACGGUACCUAAUCAGAAAGCAACGGCUAACUACGUG